rnacentral:snoRNA from 1 species
UGGACCAGUGAUGACGACGUGUUUAUGAACAAAGGAUCGUGAUUCAUCUAGUUCUGCAAAAUACGGAGGUCCAUU